GAUGAACGCUGGCGGCAUGCCUAACACAUGCAAGUCGGACGGGAAGAGGUGUUUCCAGUGGCGGUCGGGUGAGCAACGCGCAAGAACCUGCCCUUGGGAUGGGAACAACAGCUGGAAACGGCUGCUACUACCCCGUAGGCAGAGGAGCAAAAGGAGGAAUCCGCCCGAGGAGGGGCUCGCGACUGAUUAGCUAGUUGGUGAGGCAAUAGCUGACCGAGGCGAUGAUCAGUAGCUGGUCCGAGAGGAUGAUCAGCCACACCGGGACUGAGGCACGGCCGAGGCUCCUUCGGGAAGCGGCGGAAGGCAAUUUUCCGCAAUGGGCGAGGGCCUAGCGGGGCAAUGCGGCGUGAAGGUAUAAGGCCCAGGGAUCGUGAAAUUCGUUUCCCGGAGAGGAAGCCUUGACGGUACCUGAGGAAUAAGCCUCGGCUAACUCGGUG
rnacentral:rRNA from 1 species